AUUGAACGCUGGCGGCAGGCCUAACACAUGCAAGUCGAACGAGUGGCGGACGGGUGAGUAAUGUCUGGGAAACUGCCUGAUGGAGGGGGAUAACUACUGGAAACGGUAGCUAAUACCGCAUACCAUCAGAUGUGCCCAGAUGGGAUUAGCUUGUUGGUGGGGUAACGGCUCACCAAGGCGACGCUCCCUAGCUGGUCUGAGAGGAUGACCACCCACAUUGGAACGGAGACCCGGGCCGGACUCCUACGGGAGGAAGCGGGGGGGAAUAUUGCACAAUGGGCGAAGGCCUGAUGAAGCCGGGCCGGGUGUAGGAGGGAGGCGGUCGGUUUGUAAAGUACUUUCGGGGGGGAGGCGUUACCCGCAGAAGAAGAACCGGCUACCUCCGUGCCAGCAGCCGCGGUA
rnacentral:rRNA from 1 species